rnacentral:rRNA from 1 species
UCAUUAAGUUGGGCACUCUAGAGAGACUGCCAGGGAUAACCUGGAGGAAGGUGGGGAUGACGUCAAAUCAUCAUGCCCCUUAUGCUUAGGGCUACACACGUGCUACAAUGGGUAGUACAGAGGGUUGCCAAGCCGUAAGGUGGAGCUAAUCCCUUAAAGCUACUCUCAGUUCGGAUUGUAGGCUGAAACUCGCCUACAUGAAGCUGGAGUUACUAGUAAUCGCAGAUCAGAAUGCUGCGGUGAAUGCGUUCCCGGGUCUUGUACACACCGCCCGUCACACCACGGGAGUUGGAGACGCCCGAAGCCGACUAUCUAACCUUUUGGAAGAAGUCGUCGAAGGUGGAAUCAAUAACUGGGGUGAAGUCGUAACAAGGUAGCCGUAUCGGAAGGUGCGGCUGGAUCACCUCCUUUCUAAGGAGA